CUUCGGAUUCUGUGUCUCCCUCUCUCUCUGCCUCUCCCCCACUCAUGCUCUGUCUCUCUCUGACUCUCAAAAAAAAAAAAAAGUAAUAAAAAAAUUUAAAAAAAAUUAGUAGAGUAGUUAAAAACAUGGGCUUUGCAGUCAGGCCCAUUUGAGCUCAAAUUCCAGCGUUGCUAACUGAGUCACUGUGGGCAAGUUAUUUAACCUCUCUGGGCUCAGUUUUCUCAUCUAGAAAAUGGCAGUAAUAAUACCUCAGGGGGCUUUUGUGAGGAUUAGAUAUUAUGCUUAAAAAUAGAGGCCUCAGUGCCUGGAACAUAGGAGGUCAUCAAUAAACAUUGGCUAUUAAUCAGUAAAAUUCUGCUCCCCCCAGGGAAUAGAUGCAAGUUGAAAAUGUGGAGUUGGGUGGCUGAAGCUUACCUGGGUCUGGGAAGGUGCUGUUGGGCACAGGAGACCAUCAUUCCAUCUCUGGGCUGAUUGAAGUUGGUUGAUAAUGAUGACAGAUGCAAGUAUUAGAACUUUAUGUCAGAGUUUAUUACAGAAAGUUUUGAUCACGGUCAAAUACUGGUUCCUAAGAAUCAUCUGUGUGUUAUUAAUUCUGGGUCUUUGUUUCCCUUUGUUUAAUUGCUCUAUGAGCCCCUCUCCUUUUCCUCUCCUUUCCUCCUUCCAGCCAGUGAGGGGAGAAGUCUGUUUCCAGUACAGUAGCGACUCCUGGUCUCCAGUGGCAAUUAGACCUGCUAAUCCUUAUUAAGAGCCUUGUAUGGCCACUGCCUGUGUUAAGAGCAAGGGAGCAAUGUCGGUAUGCAUCAGUUCUAUUCUUUUUUGUUUUCAUGUUUGUUUAUUUAUUUUGAGAGAGAGCAUGUGUGUUUGCGUGUACACGUGUGUGCGAGCGAGCGAGGAAGGAGCAGAGAUGGAGUGAAAGAGUCUCAGGUAGGCUCUGAGCCAGGUGCAGAGCUCGACUCAGAGCUCCCCGUGGGGCUCAAACCCACGAACCAUGAGAUCAUGACCUGAGCUGAAACCAAGAGUUGGUCGCUUAACAGACUGAACCACCGAGAUGCCCACCCUCCCGGAGUCCUAUUCUUAAAGAGCCUUACUAUCUACUGGGUUGGACUGAGAGACAGCUCAUCAUAAGAGAAGGCAGAAUGUAAGUAGGGUCCUCUGAGGGUGGCUGGGACAUGACAAAUUCUAACAGGAGACAGCAGGCAAGGUUUCCCAGAGGAGGCCUUUGAGCUGGGCCUGGGGGAAAGGGUGAGCUGUACAUUGCUCGCUGGGGGAAUAGUGAUGAGCAAAGUGUGAAGCUCAUAGAGUAGGUAGUGUGCCUAGUAAACGGUGAGUUGCCCUAGGAUAUCAGAGUUACCGUGUCUGUGACUGCCAUGAUCAGGAUGGAAAUGUUUUUCAGUCUCACCUGCCAGUACAGAUCUCCUGGGGAGCUUGCUAAAACUUCAGAUUCCCUGGCUUCUCACCUAUUGACUCAGACUCAGUGUGAAUAAUGCACUUCUGAACGAUGGAUUUGAAGAGAUGGGGAGGGCCAGUUUAAGAAGAGCCUUGAAUAUCAUUCAGAGUUUUGACUGUGUUUGACUUUGUAUCCCAUUGGCAUCUGAUAAUAUUUUUAACUAGCUCUUUUUGUGCGGACCUAGAAGAUUCACACUGCAAAUGAUAUCUGGGUGGUUCUAGGUCACUGGUUCCUAAUGUGAGGUCAAGGAUAGCUUGGGGUCCAUGAAGACUUUAAUGGGUCUCUUCAAGCUAUUUUAGGUGUUUCUAAAAAUUCAAUGCAAGUUAGGCAGUUUUCUAUCCUUCAUAAAUUUGUAACUAGUUUAGUCCUUUUUUUUGGUGUGGAACUGUAUUAACACAGUGUGGUAACACGGAUAAGGUGAGGUAGCACCGUGCACUGGUUAAAAGCACAGAUUUUGGAGACAGAUCUGAGUUCUUCAAUUUAUUUCAUGGCCUUCCAACCCUAAGAUCUCAAGGUACUUCACCUGUGUGAUCUUGUUUCCCCGAGUGUGAAAUGGGGAUACUCCUAGUACCCAGCUCAUGGGGGUGUGGGGAGGAUUCCAUGGGAGAAUGAUGCACGAUGCCUGACAUGCAGAAAAUGCUCAAAAGAUGCUAUUCUUAUUAAGCUGUCUCAUGGAAAAAUAAUUACAUAUCACUAUGUGUAAUUUUGUUUGGGAGCAAAACUCAGGGGAGUAAUAAUAACAAUAAAGGAGACUCACAAGUGAAAAGUUUGGAAAGCUCCUCAAAGGGCUUAUUUGGGCCACGGCAUCUAGAGCAGAGAGCAGACAUGCCUUUCCUUAGCUCCCCUAGUCUAGGAUAGAUGGUCCUCGGAGGACCCUCGCGCUUAAGCUCUGCCUCUGGAGCGUGAUUUAUCCUGGAAGUGGUUCUAAUGGAAAAUAAUAGAAAACUACUUGCCAGGAGAAGAAUCCAAUGAGAGUGUGUAUUUACUUUGGGCGAUUUUCCCAUCGCGCUGUGUUACCCUGCCAAGAAGUUAAAAAUAGUGGUGAUAAGCAAUCUGUGAAUCGGUCCCUCUUGGGGUGGCAAGGGUCAAAUGAAAGUAGAAUUGUUCCUCGGGGCCCCUGAGGACUCCACUUCAUCCCCCUUUUAACCCUCUUGCGGCUUCUGUUGGCUGCUGCCCGGCCUGUCCCAUCCACUCCUCAGACUUGUCCUAGGCGGCCUAUGUUAGACCUGCCGGGUUUGGAUGGCCUCUUGCUUUAAAUACACUGUUUGUAACCAGUAAUUUAUGUUUUCGUGAUACUUCGUGUAACAGCUGGUCUUUGUGCAGCUGUAAUAAGGGAAUAACGAAAUACAUGGUAUUUGUACCAGCGGCUGUAGUGUUUGUCAUUUCGUAUAUGGAUUGCAGUCGUAGGAAGCAUGUAAAAUUCCAAAGGGUAUUUUUUUUCCUCUUAAAGAUAAGCCCUAGCAUAUUAAAUAUUCAUCUGCUGUGGAAGAACACUAUACUAUCUUUUUGUUUCCUUCACCCUUAUUUUCUCAUGGAAAUAUAUUCAGAUGUCUACAAUAUGUAUUGUUCUCAUAAAAUGCUCCUCAUUACAACCAGUCCCCUGAGCAAAACUUAAAAAUCUUCAUCAACAGCUGUUCCAAAAUAUGCUAAUCUGCGUGCCCUUCAGCCUAUGGGGUCAUAGCUAAAGAACACCCGCGGAACACGGUUGCACACUUGCCUCCCGAAUUCCUUCGACCCCGGUCAGGCUCGUGGCUUUGAGCUGUGGGUCAGGUGCAAAGGACUGACGGCCCAAAGAACCUUUGCCCUUUUAAAGAAUUGCUUCUCGUCCCCACUACCUCAUUUCCAAAGGUGAUGUUUGGUGUCUUGUGUUGUUUCUCAUUGUUUGGCCCAGCUGCAGGGACUGGGAGGGCAGGUGAUCCAGACCUCUCUUCCGAAGACGCGAUAAAGCCAAGGCUGCUGCUGAAGGCCGUCAGGAGGAGCAGUGGGGGAAAGUGAGCAGGGUGUUGUAGGUUCUUGGAAGAAGUCCCCUCCAACCUCCGCCCCGCUGGAUAGUAUCAGUCAAAUGGCCCUAGCAGCUCUGUGGAAAUCAUCAAGUGGGAAGGGUGGGGUGGGGACCAGUGAGCUCUGAUACCACACAUCUGGGCAAUGUGUGCUCUUCCAAUGAAGUUCCCUCCAGAUCACUCCAGAACAAGGAUUCUCAAAGUGUGGCCGGGACAGCAGCCGCAGCGACAUCUGGGUGUUGCCUUGAAAUGCAGAUUCACACCUCCAGAAGUCUAGGGGUGGGGCCUGGGACCCGAGCUGUGGGGCCCGCAGGUGAUUGUGAUGCUUGCUUAGGGCUGAGAGGCACUUACCGAUCUCAUCUGGCUCUCCGGUUCCUCGCAAAAUAACAAAGGCGUCGUGGCCUACCUCCUGUGUGCCCGCUGAUGGGUGUAGGGCUGUGAAGGACAAAAAAGAGGCACAGACCCGCUUUCUGCCCUGAGAGAGUGUGCCGGCUGACUGCGGGGCAGGCCUGGUAUAGUUCUGAAGGUCGCGGUGCGUAGGAGCCGGUACAUUGCCGUGUCCUGGUGCCUGGAAGGAAGAUAGGCUCUUGAGUUGGACAAAAGAAGGUUCAGAUCCUGCCUUUGCUUGUCACUAGCUGCCUGAACCAAGCGAAUAACAUUAAGUUUUACUGUGAGGAAUGAAAAGUAGCCGGUGCCCCAUUCGCUUUUGUUUCUGAAGAUACUGAGGAUAUAAAACUAUGAAGGAUGUCUCUGGGCAUUAUCUAGCUCCAGUGAUACUUCCCUUUGUUCCCGUUAAAAUUUGAACCACAUGACCUCACUUUCCUCAGUCAGCAUUAACAUUGGUUUCUCUCACUGCUGCCAGUGCUAGUAUUGGGAUACUGCUAUCAUCAUGGCUGACGUCUUUUGAGCACGUUCAGCGUGCCAGGCACUGUUCUGAAGACUAUCCACGUACUCUUCGUAUACUUUCACAACAAUCCUGUGAGAGAAGCCUGGUAGGCAAAAUUAUGCCCUCUCAGGAUGAUUACACCCUAAUCCUCAGAACCUGUGACUACGUUACUUCCAGAUGUGGUAAAUUAAGGUUGAGAUGGGGGAUUAUCCUAGAAGAUCUGCGUGGGCCCCACGUAACAAGGGCCUUGUAAGAAGGAGGCCUGUAAGCGGUAGCAGGGAGAUAUCAUGGUGGAGGCAGCCAGAAACGGGGAGGGGGGUGUGCGGUGAAGCGUGUGAGUGAGGAGUUUGAAGGUGCUACACCACUGGCUUUGAGAACGGAAGGAAGGGCCGUGAGCCAUCGACUGCAGGUGAUCUUGCAAAACUGGAAAAGGGAAGAAGGUGAAUUUUCUUCAGAGCCGCCGGAAGGAGCAUAGCCUGCCGACGCCUUGAUUUGAGGGCCUCCAGAACCUGGAUUCCUUCCCAAGACCUUUCCACAUAAGCCUAGUGCGGAAGAUCCUUAGGAGUUGGAGCACCAGAAAUGCCCCCAUUGGCCACAUCUCCUUGAUGAACAUUUCACCCUCUGUGGCUACUGUGUGGGUCCUGACAGGAUUUUUGCCAAGACUCGUUUCUGUAAAAAUACUCACUUGCCAAGGUUUCUUUUUUAGCUCUAAUUUUUUUUUUUCAUUUAAUGGUUAAAGAACAAAAUCAGCUGUUGAAAGCUAUUACCACCAUAAUGACCUAGAACUGAGGACUUAACCAGAUGGCUUCUACACACUUAGGCCUGUAGGGCUGUUGAUGACCCAGGGCACGUGUAAAUGUGUACAUGUGAUAGGAGUCAACAAUACUAGCUCUUUCAGAGCAAACUCCAUGAAGUUCAUGGAAGCCUGUCAUUACUAUACCGUGAAGCAUUUAUUAAAGCCAUCCUUAAUUUUUUCUGAUUAUAGGCAAAUCAUAUGCUCAUGUUGGAAUAUAACAGUAAAAAGUCCUAGUAAUGAGCACUGGUAUGCAUUCUCUAUUUGUGUAUUCUGCUUUCUGCAUGAAACAUUAUAGUGUAUGCAUUUCCUAUAUGAUUAAAAAUAGUUCAAAAUAAUGAUUUUCACUGGCUGCAUAUACACUCCAUACUGGUUGCACGAGAAUAUAACGGUUGCCACAGUUGAUCACUGUGUUUUUAUUUAGACCCCAGGAAUUCUUUCUUGUGAAGUGGCCUUAGUAGAUAGACGAAUGUCUUUGGAUUAACACAUUUGAAGUUCAUAUUGGUUGUGAGAAGAAAUGACAUUUAAUUAGCAUAUUCAAAUGUUGUAUUGCAGCCACAUUCUAAGAUGCUUAAUGUUUAAAGAUUCAAGUAAUACAUAAAGACUUAUUUGGAAGAUAGUAUUUUUGCACUUAAGUGUGACCAAGCCCAAUAGUAGAGCUGAAAGAAUGAAAACCAUGAAACAUAAAGAGAGGACAGGAAGGGUGAAAAUGGACAUUCAUGGAGCACAUGCUAUGUGGAUGCAUACACAUUAUCUCAUGAAGGUCUCAAAACCAAUCUCUGAGAUAAAUACUAUGUAUCCUUAUUUCACAGAAGACAGACUGAGCUCAGAGGGGUUUUGCACUUGCCCUGGUUAACCUGGCUGGAAAAUGGCAGACCCAGCUUUUGAACCAGGUCUGUCAAAUUCAAAAUUUGGUAUUUUUCUUCUAUUACACCAUGCUGCCCAAGUCCCAUGAAAUGCUGCCUGCCCCAUGUCACUCUAAAUUGGUGGGAGAAAUUCAGAAAGAUAACUAUGGGUCUUGUGGAUUCCUUGUUCCUCGGAGCCACAUAGGGCCUGGGAGGGUGUGGGAUCCCUCCCAGGGAUCAUAUGGGAUCCCAUUCAUAUGGGAUCUCCUAUGGGAUCCCAAGGGGUUCAUAUGGGAUCCCUAGCAUCUACUCUCUUGCUUCAGCCAGAGCAACUCCUCUUUGCCCAGUUUUACAAGUUGACCCCUGCUUGUGUGCCCCCCCCCCCACCAUGUAGCAAAAUUGAUACCCUGGUGAAUCUUUGCAAUGCAAUGGCUUUUUCUGGGAACUUGGUUCAAAGCAGAUCUAUGCUCCUCCCCAGUGUAAAGUGGCUUGUUAGAUUGCUAUACCUCCCAGAAACAUCCUCCCCAGAUUUCCAAUGGAAAUAUUCAUUAAUGGAACAAAUCAUUGUAUUGGUUGGCCCUCAAUGAAAAAAUAAUUCCCUUUGUCUAACUGACUUUUAUGUCCUCAUUUAUGAAGACGGUUCUCUUCAUAACCCCCUAAAGAGUUCCCACUCAGAAUUCUGUCUUCGCUAUGAUCAAUUAUGAUAGCUCUAAAAUAGCAUGCAGUUCUGAAAUUCUCCACUUGCUCCUAUGUUUCUUAUCGGCCGUGCAGUGCCCUCAUUCAUCCAUUUAUUCAUCAAGCACGUCCUGAGCACCAGCAAUGGACCAAGCAUGAGGCCUUACUCCAUUCUCUCUAGUGUACCUUUCUCAGCAUUUGUAGAACGCUGUUUUUUUGCAGGUUUUUUUUUUUUUACAUUUAUUUGAAGUACUAAGAACAAACUUAUUUACUGAAUAUUAAAGCUCUGUAAGAUACUAUAGUGUGAAAUGUGGUUCAGCGUUAAAACAACAAUGCUGUGAAAAAAUAUGUAAUAUAACAUGAACUUGUAAAUUAUAAAAGUUAUCUUUCUCACCUCAUAGUUACUUUACAUAUGUUACCUAAGGCUAGAGACCUAACAAGCUAAUGUCUACAAACGAGGAACAGCUUUUCCUGGCAUUGCUAAUUGGAGGCAGGUUUUUUACUUUGCGAUUGCUUUUUUGCUUGAACUCCGUCUUGUCUCUUGUUGGAUUAGUGAUCUCUGUCAGUAACAGUAGAGGUGAUGCUUCAAGUUUAUAUAACCCUUUGACAUUUUUACAAAAGAUGCUUCCCAACAACCUUCUGAUGUAGGUACAUAUUAGUGUCUCCAUUUCACAAAUAAGAAAAAUGAGGGUCUGCAGCUGGUGAGGACAGAGAAGGGAUAGAACGAAUCCUUAUCUCAGAAUUCACUACAUGAUCCUUUCGUUUCCCAUCCCCCACCCCCAAAUUACAUAGGAAUUGUGUCUUCUAUCAUUUGGGUGUAUCUUCAGAUCUUCACAAAAUGAAAUUUCUCCCUGAACACACAAUGCAUUCCUGCUUGAACAACUGCUUUUUCAUUGACACCAGAAAAGGGAAUCUUGCAAAAUGAAUUUGGUAAUUGCUGGUCCCUGUUUAUGGACAGCUGCCCAAGCAGGUAAAACAUGCAUAACGUACACCUUGUUGCCAUUGCACAUUUAAAGUGCAGUGUGAUGGAUGGGAAGGUACAUUAUUAACCUCCGUCAAUACGUUGCCUAAAUGUAUGAAUGCAAUAAUACACUGUGGUAUUUUGGAACACGACGUUAGGUAUCCUGAUUGGAAAUGUUCUUGAACUAAAAUAUCCUCCGCGAGAAGCUUUUUUUUUUUUGUGGUUACAAAAAAAGAUCAGCAUCUCGCAGGUUACCCGAUUUGCUAAUUACUUAGAAUUCAGAUCAGGUAUUGGUGAUGAAAUUAGCAUGCAAUAACUAUCAGUUUUUGACAAGGGCUUUGGGUGGAAGAAAGGGAUGGCUGUAGGUGAUAAAGGGAUAAGAAGGUAGCAAGUAGAUUUUCAGGGUUGACUUGGAUCACCUCGGUUAGAUGAUGGCUUAAUGUUUCAACGUUCAGAGAGAGUGGCUCAAUAUAUAGAAAAAGGCAAAGCCACCUCUUUGAAGCGAUGGGUCUCAAAAGGUGUGGCCUUUUCUCGGAAAAGGCUAAUCACUGGAACUCUUCAUGUGGAGUGAGUUACCCCCUCUCAUUCUGUGUAGGAGGACCAGUAAGAGCUGGUUUUUUUCCAAUCAACAAAGGGUAGGAGGUUCUUAACAUAUUUACACAGAGGCCCUGUUUUAUCUAUUUUUAUCUGUCUAUCUUUAUAUAUCUCUGUGUAUCUGUAUAUCUGUUACUCUACGCUUACAGUGUACUCAGGUCUACUUCUGAAAUGACUUGUGCUGAAUCGGACAAAGCCCCUACUACGUUUGGCUUCCCUUUGUAUGUGCUUCCCUUUGUAUCCUCUGUCCCUAGCUAAAGAUGCUGAUAAAAAUGUGAAUGCACUAUUAACGAUGUACAUCGUUCAUGAGGUCCUCCCCUCUCCGGCCCCACCACCAUCCUUUAAGUGUCAUAGACUGUCUCCCAAUGACUAACCCCUAAACAGGAAUGGGGUGGUUUUAUUCUCAAAUUUUGCAUCAAAUACAGUUUGAUCUGUCAGGACUGCUCCCGCAGCCAUCUAGAUGGUGAGCUGUUCCUUAGCCUUUUUGGGUCUUGGUUACUGCAUCUGCAAACUUGAAGAAGCAAUAGUGCCUCUCUCAAAGGACUGGAUGAGGAGUAAGUAAGUGGGUGUUUCUAAAGCACUAGAAGAGUGGUUGGUACAUAGCAGGGGCUGAGAAACGGCUACUCAAUAAAGGCAAAGAUAGUUACCCAGGAAGUAAAGAGGUACUUAGCCAUUUAGACAUCAAGGAGGUCAAAAAAUGUGCAGUACUUUGUGCUAAUAAGCAAUAUUGCUACCGUAGAAGUGGAAUGGAAGAUUAAUACCCAAUUCAGUGGUUUGUCCAUCCCCACCCCUUCUAGAAAGUUGAGAACCCAGGACUUGUAAAAAUAACCUGGCUGAUGUGCAGUGGAGAUGACCCUGCCAAGGGAAGAGGCUGUCAGACCUUCCUUGAAGCCAAGUCAGAUGAGCACGUAUUUCCCUGCUGUCUGGAGGAGUGGAAAAGUCCCGCUGUCACUUCAAGCACUCUGGAGAUCACAUCUGUCAGGAUGGGAUUGCUCAUCCCACACUCUGUGGACAGGGGCUUGGCGUCUAAGUCUAACAUGUGAUCAACACCCCAUUAGGGAUAGUGGUCACUGCAAACUCUUCUGGAAGGGGACUGGGGGAGUCAUCCUACAAGGCAGUGUACAGCUGGCUUAGGGCUUUGGCACUGCCUGCCAUGAAUUGAACUAUGGCUCUCCUGGUCUCUAGGGGUUGGGAUUUGGCUUUAGGCAAGGAACAUACACAUGCCUCUGAGGCCUGACAUUGUUCUCUGCAGCUCCAUGGAUCAUGGAAUUUUACUGGUGUGGGUGUGAGGCAUGGACUGACUGUCCCAGUGCUGCUUUCAUUUUCAUCUGUUCUUCUGUGCAUGCCUUUAUCCAUCCACUUACUCCACAGCUGUUUAAGAGUGGCCUACUGUGUGGCAGUCACUAAGCUAGGGCUGGUCUGCAGGGCUCUAGUCUCUAGGGCUAGGGGUGUAUAGAAUAGUGGCACAGAUCUACAUAAAAUCAAUCCCAAGGACUUUUUAUUUCAUUUGGAGAAAGAGUGAGAAUGUGAGCAGGGGAGGGGCAGAGAGGGAGAGAGGGAGACACAGAAUCUGAAGCAGGCUCCAAGCUGUGAGCUGUCAGCACAGAGCCAACGCGGGCCUUGAACACACGAACCGUGAGAUGGUGACCUGUGUUGAAGUGGGACGCUCAACCGACUGAGCCACCCAGGCGCCCUCUCUCAGUGCCUUUCAUAGUGCUUAGCACAUGGUGUGGGGAGGGUACCCCUUAACUUUUGGCUAUUUGAGAACGAUGCAAAACGUGUUAACAAUGAAGCUGGAUGCAAGAUGCUUAGCAGAACCAGAUAAAUGGUAUUUGUGUAGCACAAAUACCUAGUUUUGUCUAGUAUUAAUUUUACAACUUCAUUUCAUAGUCACACAUCACUUAGUUUCCACAAGUAACUUUAAAAGAUACUGUACUUUUUGGUAGGUAAACAGAGAUGCUAACUUAAUUCCCCAGCAUCACACAGUUCUUUGUUAACCAUGCCCAUCAUGGAAUUUCUCUGAAUUCAAGUCCCUUUUUCUGUUGAUGGCGUUACCUAUAUCCUCAAUCAUGCCCAAAGGGCCAUUUUCCCUCCUUUAGGUCGUUAAAACCUAAUGUCUCCGAUGACAUAACGUAUUCCUAUUUGGCCAAAGUACUUGGUUUUGGUUAUUUGUUUAUCACACAAACAUAAUGAGCACCUACUAUGUACGAGACACUAACUUAAGUCUUCUGCUUAAGAUUUACUAUGUGUAUCAUAAGGUUUUUUUUUUUUUUUUUUUUGGUUUUUCUGAAGCUUAGAAAAUGAUCAAUUCUACCUUGAAAAUGUAUUGAGCAUACUAUUGCUUGGGUGAUUUAGAGGGGACUUGAGGCUCUGAUAGUCCCCAGAUUCUUCCAUAUAACGUUCAUUACAAAAGAUAGAUGGUGUUGAGCUCAGUGUGCCCUGGCUGUGUUGUACAUUCUGGAAAAUCCUUUGAGAAAGCAAAGCCUUAAUAUGGGCCAGUAUGAAGUCCUAGAAGUGUGAUCUUGAAUAAGCUUAAGAACCUCUUUUGUUUUCUUAACAUCAUUUGUAAAGUGGAGGGGUCUGGAGAAGUGCCUUCCUAAGGGUCUUUACAGUUCCAAGCCUUGGCUAUAAACCUAAAUGGUGGCCUCUUAGAAUGCCACAGUUACCCAGAUGUUCCUCCUUCCCAAACCGCCUCUACCUCCUGGGGGCUCAGGCUUCCUGUUUGCUCUUCACGCCCACAGAUUCCUGCUGGGCUGUUCUCUGGCGCCAUCUCACCCUGUCUCUGGGGAAGAUAAUAGAGAAGAGCUGAGAAGACUCCAUGGAGCUGCCUCUUCCAUGAGCUAUUUUAUGACUCAUGGACUGCCGGUGGGGGGGGGGGGGGGUUGGUGGUGCUGGCCUGUGUGGAGGGAGAAGGGACUCGUGCCUUUUAUUUCUUUUGCUUGAAAGAACCACUCAAGGAACCUACUAUCUCAAGUGGACUCUGCUUCCCCUCACUAUUGGAUCAUUUACAAGAAUUAUAAAACAAAACUCUAGAAUUAUCCUAAAAAUGGUAACAGGAACAGAUAUUUAAAUAUCUUAAUACUUCUGACCUUCCCCCCCCCCCCCACUUGUUUUAUACUAUUUCCCUUUGCUUCAUGCUCUUAAAAAAAAAAGUGACAGGAAUCUGGCUUCUCACCCAGUGAAGAGUAAGAACAGCCCUUUGGGUUUUGAGUAGCUCAUGAGAUUUUUCUUCAGAUGUUUAAGGGAAUUUGUUCCAGAAGAGUCAUGGGUGAGGAGGGUGAAGAGUUGCACCUGGGUUAACGCACUGCCAGUUGGGUUCUGAGCCAUCAGUAGCAUCUUUCUCUAUAUGAUUGUCCCCAUUUUCCAGAAAACAAAGGCCAGAAGGCACACUUGCCCAUUUGUACCUUGGCUUGAUUGAAACCCUAGGGUCUCCCUUCACCUUGAAUAUGAGGAGGAGAAACAGCUGUUUUGUUUUGUUUGUUUUUUUUUUCUUGAGGUAUUUGAAUCCUUGAAGCUGUGCCCAGUGAUUCACUACAUUUGCUAUAUCUAAACACAUCAUCAGCCUUUGUCAAGUUUCUGCUGUAGUUGGGCAAUUCAUGUUACUGGAGGAGGUGAGGAACUUUUUCCUCCCACAGCUGAAGAUGAAAUGAUUUGUCAGGCGUCAUACACAAGAGUCUUUUCCUUCAUCUUUCCCAUUGGAAUGAUCUCCGUCACCUUGUAGCCCAAGGACUACCUCCAAAGAUCUUCCCAAGCCUGAGGCUACAGAUCCCUAAACUGCCAGAAUCCCUUUAAAGAAGGGAAGUCUAGCACCUACUGGAGCUCUAGUCUUGAACUUCUCUCUCCACCCCCAUUUUUUUGCCUUUCAAUGUGGAAACACUAGGUGCUUUCUUUUGAGUUGAAUUUGGCUGUGUUUAAGGUUUAUAUGUGUGCCUAUUUAAAGUUUAUAUGCAUGCCUAAAGAAAUACUUCUUCUCCUAUUCUGAACCAGGGAAGUGAUAGUAUCUGUAUCAUUGAUUUGCCCAAAGAUCUCUCUGCCCAGGUGGAUGCCCCCUUGGUCAUACGUAAAGCAAAACCACCAUUUUUCACAGUUCUUAGAUCACUGUCUAUUUCUGAGCCAGCCAGAAGUCUCAACGUGUGUUUUCUGUCAGAAGACAUGGCAGACAUAAUAACCUCACCAAUGACCUUUCCAUGCUGCCUACACCUGGCUGCAUGCACCUGGCGGCAUAGACACAAUGGGUGUCUGAGUGCUAACACCACUGCUUUCUUUGCUGUUGGAGGAAGCCUAACAGAAUGUAGGACUGUGCGAAGAGCUUUAUUAGGUAAUCACCUUCAAUCCCUCUAAUUUAUAUUGGAAACCUGAAUUAUUUGAACACUUGAGAAUGUGUACUAUUUUUAGCCACAAAUGGCUUAUGACACACAUGGAAUGACAGGUCACCUAGAGACAUUGAGAACCACUUCUUUCCAUUCCAGAUACUUUGCAUGGACCUCUUGCCCAGAACUGCGCUUAGUAAUGGAGUCCUGUGGCCUCACAGUUUCUUAGUGAUGGUACUUUGCACCUUGAAAGCUGGGGCAUGAGAAGUUUUAUGGGUCUGAUAGAGCAACCUGCCUGGUUGCAGAUGGGCUCAGGGAUGUCCAUUAUAUAACUAUGGAGAGAGCUUAUGUCUGGGUCCUUCCUGUCUUGCCUUUUCCAUCUGUAACCCUUUCCAUCCCAUAAAGAGGAUAUGCUAAGAGGAAGAAUGUCAUUCAAAGACCCCACAGAAUAAAGCAAAAUGUUGGCAAGGAGCAUUAUCUUCAAAUUUAGCUGUGGGCUUUGGGGAGGUGAAAGGGUGAACUGGGGGUGAGAGAAGGGGGGUAGGUUAAAAGCUUGCAGUUGGGACAGGAGGGAGAAGUGGAGAAUCUCCUUAGGAACUGUAGGAUGUAAGCAUUUGAAAUCUUACAUCAGUAAGCUAUGUGAGUCUACUGUGGGCAAGAUGUCCAAGUGGCUGGAAGUGACUUAGCCUUACCAAGUCUGCUCACUACUGAGAGAGCAGUAAAUACUAGCCAACCUGAGUGAUAAUGGCAGAGUCCCACCACAGCCUGGCCCUCCAUGUCCUUGUGUGUCCUUGUAUAGCACUUUGCUCCUGAGGGUUCUGAGCGAUUGAAGAGGGAGCCCAUGCAUGAAACCCACAAUCCAGAAUACACAAGGUCAUUACUGAUGCAUGUAGCCAUAGAGCAGAGUCAUGGUGUUUUAGAGCUGGAAGAAAAUUUAGAGUAUGACAUGGCCAAAUCCCUUCAUGCAAAUCAAUUAACAAAAAUUAUAUAGCCAAACAUGCACAUCGGUGCCCUGUAAUUACUAACUGGAGUUUGAGGUACUCAACAAGGUAAUAAAGCCUAUUAACAGCCAUCAGACCCACAGAGUCUGUCUGGCGCAGCUAGCGGGUUAACAGCUGCUCACUGGAUGAAGUGAUUGAAAGGAAGAAAAUGCUAUUGCUUAGGUUCUGCUGGGCCCUAUCCAGCCUGGGCCAGUCACACCCACAUUUCUUUUCCUGGUGAAAGCUAGCAAAAUUUUCUCUCAUUCAUGGGGGGAUUGAAGGAGGAUCAAAAUAUUGAGGGACAAAUCACUUCAUCCCAUUUGAGAAGUGAUAGGGUAAGCUUAUUUGAACACAGUAUUAACCAGAGAUGGGUUCCUCAGGCCAUUCUCCCAGAUUAACGGGCAAACACCUGGACACGGCAUUGAGACCCAGCCCCUUGGGGCUUCAGCCUGCCCUUCCAGAACCCUUUUGUCCCAAUUUUUACCCCAGCUGCAGUGGGUCUUCGAGCACUUUCUGCACUCACGUGACUCUUUGAUGUGGUUCUCUGUCGGGAAGCCUUUGCUCCUGUAGUCUCCUUGCUGUGCCUGUAUUCAUCCAUCAAAAGCCAGUUCGGUUGGGACUUGUCUUCUAAAAUGUAAGGUACAUUGAUCACUAGUUUGGCCAUACGUCUGUUAAAGAGCCCAUUAUUCUGUAGUGGAUUGCUUAUUUACCUGUAAGUGAUUGCAUGUUAGGGUCUUGUUUUUUUCCUCCAUGCCUAACAUCGAACCUGGUAUGAAGUAGUUACCUAACAACUGAGUGUAUGGUUGGACAGAUGCAUAGAGAGAUGUACCAAAAACCUGCUCUCAUGGUUUUUUUUUUUUGUUGUUGUUGUUUGUUUUUUUACAUAAAUGUGAAGUCUACAAGGGCAGAGAUGUUAGUUGGCUUGCUUCACUGGUGAAUGCCCCACCACCUAGAAGCGUACUUAGCUUCAAUAAAUACUUGAAACACAAUUUUUUCAAGGAUACAACUUAAAGAGAUAAAUUAGACUGUUGCCCCCAAAUGUGGUUUACAAGAAAGUAUCCCUUUAGACCCAUAAUGAUUCUGCUCCUCAGAGUGGGUUGGCAUGUUUGUCCUCUUCCUCAGAACUUUGCCUCUCGCUGCUUCUUUCUGGUGGCCUCUUAAUAGUGAGUGUUGGCCAGAGCUCAGCUAUUGGUCCAGUUUAAGAACUGGGGAAUUUUUACGGGAAUAGGAGUGUUAGGUGUUGACUUCAGAAAGACGUCCGUUGAACAUGUGUUGAUAACAAGUACUUCUCUGCUGCUGCCGCCUUUCCUGGUUUUAUGAUUCUCUCCCAGGAAGUUUUGGCAGAGAUGAGAAGGUACAGUUGUUCGUUUUUAGUUUGCAUAUCUAGAGGGAAACUCUGGAGUUGGAGAGAGGGUUGGAAAUAGUCCUGGCUUUUUUCCCAAGCUACUCUGACUGACAGCUGGAAGGAGAAAGAGGAACAGUCCCUUUCACCGGCUCCAAAGCAGACUGGGCCUUGAUGAUGAGUAUGGCCAGUGGCAGGACAAACCAUCAGCUCACAGUGGACACCGGCCAUGGAGGGCAGUAGCGAUGUUUUGUUUGAUUUUUGCCUCGUACCUAUCAGCGCUGUGUUUACAGGAGCCUAUUAAAUAGUGGUGCUGUAUUUAGAGUAAAUGUUCGCUGAGUUGUGUCAUCAAAAAAGGUAUUGGGGAUCAGAUCUCGGAACCUUAAGAGGAGAAGGGAAUAGUCAGCCUAAGGUAUAUAGUAGCCAUGCCAGGCCUGGUGUGCAGUAUACGUCCUCUGGGAGCUAACUUGUGAGAUGUGUUAAAGUGGGAUAUUUUUGAAUCUAGGGGUAGGUUUCAGUACUUAUCGUUUGCCUACAAAGCUUCAUUUGGGACCCAAAUAUAACGCCUUGGUAAUGAGUAAGUGCAUUGAUCCACACGUGUCUUCACAAAAGAAGAGGGGAAGGCACUAAAGAACACAAGGAAAGUGUUGAUUUACUCACUUGUUCCAUGUUGUGAUUGCGUAGUAAGUAUACAACACUGCACUUUGUGUGUCAUAGAAGAGCGCUCUGUAAGAGUAUAGAGUUCAGGGUGUAAUCCUGGCUCGUUGCUUAACUACUGUGCAUCUUAACCAACUUGGAGUUUGGUGUCUUCAGCUCCACAUCAGCCUUGGAUGACCUUAAAGAAUGCAAAAAACAUUCGCCUCCUGCGCAAUUGAUACUGCCUGCCUAAAAAUGCCAGGUUGAAGAGAAGUGAAGCCACGUUGGGGUCUAGAGUAAAUUGGUGCUAUCUGUCAUUGGCUGGUGAUGUCUGCUAUGGACAGUGGGUUGAAAGUUACAGUACGUGUGCAACUUAAUUGCCAUUCUGGGCCAGAUGACCUGUGAAGUUCCACUGCCUGUAUAGUACUGCUCCAUAAGGUUGAAUCUUUGCCUUCUAAGAACUUAAAACUUCUGCAGAUGGGUAUAGUUCUGUCGAACUUUAUUUAAAAAUCCCUGAAUGGCAUCUGAAGCAACAUCAUGAUUACAGAUCCCUCUCUUAAGUGGAGAUAUGGCAGUUUUCCUGCAAGCACCUCUCUGCCCUAGGUCAAUGGCUUUAAACAGAACAAAGCAAAGGUAUAGUUCUCCUGGUCAUUCCUGUUUGCAUGUAUUUUGAAGAAGAGUGCUGAAACUAAUCCAAAUGCACCAGUAGAAUUCUUCCUGAGUUACUAUUUAGCCUAAAUGAAAGUUUAGUCAUCUAUGCCUCAUUUCAGUGAAAACCUUGAAUCUUUAAAUAAGUCACAUGAAGUUUAAAAAUAUAAGCAAGAGCCUUUUUGUAUAUUUUGGUCUAGGAGACAGAUUUAACUCUAAUUUGAAAUUGUGUUUCAUUAGGGAUGUUUUCUUUUGACUGUGGGUUUAAAUUAAGGUUGUUAUACAUAAUAGUGUUAGCCUAGGGAGGGCUGAAAAAGGUCGUUAAAUAUGGACCAAAUUUAUGAGAUGAUCUGUUUGUGUGCACAUAUGCAAUCAAAUGAUGGCUCUAAAAUAAUUAUUUUUAAAUUGUGCAUUCCAUUUUAAAGAGCGGCAAUUGAUACAGAGCUUUAGAAGCCUCAACAGGAUCAACUAAAUGAGGCCAGUAAGUGCUUCACAAGUGAUUUUCUAAAGUGUUUUUCUUUUACUUCUAAUAAAUAUGAUAGAAUGCCCCUUGUCACAUGUGGCUUACUGCUACCCAGAACUACACUCCUAAGUCCUGUGAUAGGUCCAAAAACUUAAAAGCUUAAGAGUUAAUUGAAAAGGAGGAUUCCGUCCUAUUUCUCCACAUGUACAGGGAUUUGACCAUGUGUGAUAUUCUCAAACAUGUUAAAAACACAUGAUUAAAACCAUGUAAAAUUAGAACUGGAAGGGUUAUAUAUGUUUCUUGCCUCUUGUUGUAUCAGAAGGGUAGGGCUGUUGGUCUAAGGAUCCCUGGCUAGUGAUGGCAGAGCUAGGCAUCCCAGGAUGAACUCUGGACUCAGUCAAAUGCCUGUUCUUUCUCCCAAAUAAUUAAGAAAAUAGAGUAUAAAACAGGAUGAAGUCAUAUGGAAGUCACACAAGAAAUGGGCAUUCUUAUCCAACGAUUGGGCUUUCCAAGUGAAUGCUUUUUCAAAUCUGCUCUGAAGUUUUCUUCUCUGGGAUAUAGGUAUGCGUCAUCACUUCUGCUUUCCCUUUUGUUGUGGUUACCUACAAGUUCCUGGAUAAUGUUGAUGUCCAGUCUCCACUUUUGUAUUGAUGAUUAUGGGCUUAGUAUAUUGGCUUCCUUUUUUCUUCAGAACUGACUUUUUUUAAGGGCCUAUCUGCCCUUUGCUGUAAGCUUCUUCAGAUCCUCUCUGGAGGGAAGAAGGAGAAGAAAUUACUAAAUACAAAAAAAACCCAAAACUUUUUUAGAAUGGUAUGUUACUAGCAGCUGGAAUAACUUGUAGUAGUAGUGGUGGGGUUCUUUUGAUGAACUUUGUGUGAUGAGCAUUCUAUAGGAGAGAAGGAAACUUUUGGAGGACUCAGGGUUCAAACCAAAGAUAAGAUCUCGUAGUAGAUGAAGUGGGACAGAAAGGACCAUCGAGAGUUGAACUGAGCACAGAGAUGUGGGAGGAAGCAGUCUAAUGGGGACUCUUCGUUCCGGCCCACAGGUCCUCUGUAACAUGAAUGAUCACAACAGGCUGGGGAUGGUUGAAUUUCUCAUGGCGGCUCUUGAUGGGACUAUCUUUUCUGUAGGUGAUAGCACAUGAACAGAGUCAGCUGACUAGAUGAAGUUCCUAGCACUAGAGUUACAUUUGCUUAGCAGACCACACUCCAGCAUUUGGAAACCCCAGAUGGAACUUCUGUUCAUUUGUUGGAAGCAUCAUCAGGGGGAACAGAGCAGGCUGCCUAAUGUAACGCCCCAACAGAGCUAGCAAGGGAGUCUCCAUCUAACAAGCACGUGGGUAGGAAUCUGCAAAGGGUGCCUCCACAGACUCAGCAGGAGCCCCUCUCUAUAUUUUGUAAGGUUUUGUAAGCAGGGUUUCUGAGUUCCCUUUGUUUAAUCAGCUUUCAAAAAGGGUCACCUGGGUAGACUCUUGCCCAUACAAAAUAUCAUCCAAACCUCCUUCCAUCUUGGACCAGUCAGACCACGUGAUACCAUUAGCAUCUGAUUUUAAGUUAAUGACUGAGUAGAUUUAUGAGGACCUCUUAAUGAUACUGAACAUUUGGUCAGGGCAUCAUCUGUUUCACUUUCUGACCUGAAUAAGUUGGCCCUGAAAUUUCAAGAAUGCUAAAAAGUUCUUGAGGCUAUUCCUCACCACCCUGUUUUUGUUGUUGUCCUUGCAUUUUUUGGAGAGGAGAGAUGGUUAGAGUUAUUAGGUCUUUUAAUAAUCCUCCAUAGGAGUGGAUCCCUUGUAUUUCAUGCCUUGGAUGUGUGAUUUCAUUCCUUACAGAGGCUAGGGACAGGCUUCCAGAUAAUAAGCGAGGUGAUUUGAUGGCUAGCUAACAGAUCACCCUUGUUUGCCUUUGUAGUUGAGUGAACUGUAUAAUGUCUGGGAAGGGGGAACUACUAGCCAGAAGUCCAGGAUUGGCUUCUGAACACCUGUGUUUGGAUGUGCCUUAGGCAUCUGUAACCCCACAUGAGCGAAGCAGAGCUAGUGACCCCCACCUCCCCCUCAUCCCCGCCUGCUCUUCUACCUUUUACUUUUCUCCUUGUUUACUUCCAACCUUUGGAGACCAGCAUCAACCUUCUUCCUAGCUGUUCUGGUCUGCUGGUUCCAAACCUUGAUCCUCCCCUGUCACUUAGCUCACUUCACUCGGUCCCCACUGCCACACCCUUGUUCCCUGCCUUUGGUCCCCUUCUCAUCCAGAUUGAUAGGACCUCCUCACUCAUGUCUCCAUCCCUUUCACAUCAUUUCCCACCUUGUUGCCAGAGUGAUGGCAACACUUGUUUGGAAUUCCUUGCUGGCUCUCCUUAACCUUUCUGAUGAUAAAGUGUAUGUAUUCCUUAAGGUGAUUCUGAAUGAACUGCUAUGUUUCUGCCAUGUCCUGUUUCUCACCACUUCCUCCACACGAUCCCCAGGCUGUAAGCAGGUAGAAUUUAUAACAAAGUAGGUAGGUAAAACCCUGAAGGUAGGAGACACACACACACAAUUGCUGCUGACUGGUAACUCCUGCCUGAGAACUGAGAUCAUGGGUGCCUCCCUUACCUGGGCUGAGAAAGGAGGAUCAUCUGGUUAAGGAGUCUUCCUUAUUAUCUUCCUUUCUAGCAGAACAAGAAGUUACUUUCUAAUAGAAGACCCUUUUAUUUUUUCAAGUAAUUUCCUCUUUUUUUUUUCCAUUGGUCUCCAACCUAGUCUGUGUUGUGGGAGUACUGGAGCCAAGAUUUCCUGAGCCAGAAUCAGCUAGCUUCCAGCACAGGCUAGAAACGUCCACGCUCUGUCCUCCGUGUCCUUUUGCACCUGUCAAGUGUGACCUUCCUCUCUCUACCUGGACGGCUGGGGAAGAUGGCUAUGAGUUGCAGUACCUCAGAGACUUAGUAUCCAUCAGGAGCUGGAAGCACCAAGCCCAAGUGGUUUGACCAAGCACCGUGGAGGGCCAGAGUCCUAGCUACCCAGCCUGUGGGCUUCCGUUUCCCUCUGGUGAUGAACCUGUCUCUGGUUCAGGCCAUGGCUUUGUGGUUGACUCACGUGACCGCCCUGGGGAAUAAAAUAAGACGGCCUGAAAAUGGCCAGAAUGCAGGAGGCAUCUGCCCACAUCGGACCUAUUGUGACACUUGUCCCGGUUGGUGCUCUCGAGUGCUCAGGGGGGCAGAGGAAAUAGAAUCCAUUUAGUUCCCCCGUGACCGCCCCCCACCAUGAAUAGCCUGAAGUGGGUUUUCUUGUGAAAAUGUCUGCUUCAACCUUCUGUUUCUAGCCCGUGUUUUAUUGUCUCCCCCCCUCUUCUGCUGCUGCUAUUUUACUGCCUCUACCCUGACAAAGCACCAGGUUUAUUCUCUGGCUCUGUGUGUUGGCCCGCUUGGGUGUCUAACCAAUGUAUCAGCCUCAGCUAAUACAUUAGAAUUUGAAUAAAUGUAUAACAGCAGGUAGCAAGUGACUGGUGACAGGGUGACAUAUUGACUUAAUAUCUUGUGUAAUGUGAUAUGAAGGAUGUGCCUUUUGGUGUGUAUUUUCAUUUUAAUUAUUUUUUGUUGCUUUUCUUAGGCAGACACUUGUAGGCAGUUUUGAGUAAUUGUCUGAAAUCAUUAACAUGUUUAUUAAAUAAGGAAGCAGAGUGCAUUAUCUAGCGAAUCAAUUAUGUAAAUGCACAAAAAGCAUAAGAAAUUAGUCUUUAACUGUUGCCGAACUGCUUCCAUUUCCUAAAUUAUAGAUGAAAGUUGCCGUGUGUGCGUGUGCAUGCAUUGGGGGGUAGGGAGGUAUAUUUAGACGCAUUCCCCUUUCUCAGACUUCUAAAGCAGCAAUGAUUAACUCGUGUUUUUUUUAAGGGGGGGCAUUUCUGAGGUACAGCAACUAGUAGGGAUUUAUGUAGAUCCUGGGUGUAGAUGACAACAGAUGGUCGGCAGUGAGAAACAGAGAAAUCUCCAUUGAAGGGUCUGGGUGAAGUGAUAAACCGUGUUAGUGAAGCACAAGCAAUAGCAUCUCUCCUCUGGAUAACAGCAAAACUCUCUAGGUUCAGAAUUCUCAAUAUAUUUUUUUUAAGCCAAACCAUUAUUCAUCCUGAUUACUUACAAUUAAAAUCUUUUUUAAAAAGAUCCUACCGUUGACUCCAGUAUAAUUUUUGGUAGCAAUGGUAAUUUGUCAUUUGGGGAGCAGUUACCCUAGAAAAUCAGGAACACACUCCAAGUAUCCACCAUUCUCGAAGUCAUUAGAUAAAUUAUCUCAACAUUUAAGAGAAACACCAUCUUUUCCUUCGUGAUUUUAUUGUGGGGUGGUUUCUGUUUAUUUUUUUUUGGUCUCAGAAUUUUGUGGAUCUUUCUCCCUUUAUAUUCAAAUAGUGCAUCCAAACAUACAUAGGUUUCCUUUAUUUAGCCUCAAGUUUAAUGACGAAAAGGAAAACAAUAGUGCUGGACUCCUACCCCUGCUUUUGGCUGAACAUACUCCCUCUUAUCGUCUAGAUGGCAAUCCAAAAAGGAAAGCUUGAGCAGAGAUACCACCUGCUUUCAAUUCCUUGGUAAAGCUUUAGGAUCAGGUUAAAGGCUACUCGAAAGGAGAUAGUAGUAGGAAGAUGAAGGCUGGGGUGCUAAUAUAUGAAAUUUUAGCUUUCUGAGCUAGAGAGACACAUUUCCCAGUUAUUAUUGAUCAGUCUUCUUUAAAACAGAAAUCAUGGUGCUUGGCUGGCUUAGAGCAUGGGAUUCUUGACCUUGGGGUUGUGAAUUAGAGCCCCAUGUUGGAUGUAGAGAUGACUUAAAAAUCUUUAAAAAAAGUAAUAAAUUGGAAAUCAGACCACUUGUACUUAAUCAUACCAGCCAUUUAAGUUACCAGUAGAUGCUUACAAAAUACUUUGGAACCCAAAAGAAAAAUAAAAUGGGAGGCAGAAGGAUGUUGUAGAAAGAGGUAAACAUCUAGAUAUGGACUGGACAUUGGCUACUUUUAGUUGUAUUACAUAGAACUGGUCAUUUAACCUUUGUACACUCCUUUGUGUAUUGAUAAUUGGGGAGUGAUAGGACAUAACUGCUAGGGUUGUUGGGAUUAAGUUAGAAUCUAUAUUAGGAUACUAUGAGCACUCAAUAUAAUUGGUACACAGUAUUUAAGUCGCUCAGUUUCCUUUCUAAAAGUGUUAAUAACUGCUUGGAUUUGAGUUUAAUUGGUGUAGUUUCCUGUAUAGAGGACAAAUGCAUCUAGAGACUUGAUACAGAUUGCUUGCAUGUGGGAGUAUGUUUAUGAUACUGUAAAACAAUCCAGGAGGUAGUCUAGCUCUAGUAGAAUGAAAACAAGAGGGGUUGUCCAGAUACAGAAAACAUCUUGAGCAUAGGUCAUAAACUUAACUGUAUAGGUAGAUACUUUGAUUUCAUGCUCAGAUUUUCUUUUGGACCACUAUUUUAAAAAUUAAUACAUAUAUAGGGUAAAAAAAAAUCACAGUGUGAAAGGAAAUAAAGUGAAACAUGUGACCUAUCCUUGCCCUUCCACAUGGAACUCCAAACAAGUAACCAGCAUUAAUGGGCUUUGUACCUAUUUUGGAUACACACACACAAAUGAUUCUCACAGAUUCAGAAUGUGAAGAUACUGGGUCAAAGGGUAUAUAUGCACUUCGAAUUUAGAAAUAUAAGCCAGAUGGUCUUCCAAAGAGGUCUUUAGGGAUUCGAACUCCUCAACAAGGUAUAGGAGUCUCAAUAUUAACAACUCUGCGUUAACCAUUAUUUUAUCUUGGUAUUGUGUUAGUUGUGAAUGAAGUUGAACAUCUUGGUUGUGUGUUCAGUAGCCAUUGGCUUGUCUUUUUCUGUGAACCGGCUCUUAUUAACCCUGGAGGUUGCUGAGCUGUGCUACCCAGAUUGCCCUUCAAGAAGGAAGCUCAUGUUCCUUCAGCUGCUGCACAGGCUGUAGCGGAAGGAGCUUCCUCUCCAGGCCCACCCCUUUCAGGCCCACCUCUGCUUAAGAGAGCCUGCUGGCCUCAGAUCUCACUCCCUUCCAGGGAGUACCCAUGUCUAACUCCUAGUGCAUAAGGGACUCUAAGGGCUCAAUCCCUGACUCCCAGUUUGGCAGUCCCUGUCCUUGCUUCAGACCCUCAGGUGUCUUGUGAUUUCACUGCCGAACAACUGCUUUUGUGGGGCCCUGGCUCCUUCUCUCCCCUGUGGAGCUUGACCCUGAGAACACUCCCCUGGGAGCCUCCUGCACCUUCUUCUGCAUCUCUAACUGCUUCCCGAGAGAGAGCCCAGUGUGCAAAACCAACCUUCUCCAUUUUGACACCGGGUUCUUGGUCCUUUUCAAAAUGAUUUGAAGGCAUUCUGUUGGGGAGAAAUUCACCUUUUGUCUAAUUUAGAGGCUGCAAGUAUUGUUGCCUCUUUGUCAUUUGUCUUUCAUUUUGUUGUUGGUAUUCUUAGCCUUUCAAACGUUUCAAAUGCUAAUGCAAAUUUAUCAGUUCUCUUUCCUUUUUAUUUUAUAUUUUAAUUUAUGGCAUUGGGUUUUUGUCCCUUGCCUAGUAGGGCCUUCCUUAUGGGAAUUUUUUUUUUAUGUUCUCUUUCUCUUUUUUUUUUUUUUUUGUUCUAACAACUUUAUUUUUUACAUUUAAAUUUUUGAGCCAUCUGGGAUUUAUUUUGAUGUAGGACAUGAGAAUAGAACCAGAAUUACAUACCCCUCCUCAUAACUGGCCAAUUGUACCAACAUAUUUAUUGGAUAAUCCAUCAUUGUCCCACAUCUGAAAUGCCAGCUUUAUUAUGUAAUAAGUCUGUGUGUAUCAUGUCUAUUUCUAAAAUAAAUUUGCCCCACUUUUCUCACUCUUCUUGGCCUAGUAACAAACUGUUUUAAUUACAUUAGUUUUAUAGUAUGUUUUAAUACCCAGGAGGGCCAAUACCCCCAUAUUUCCUCACCAAUUCCCAGAGGUUAAUUUUCCACGCACAUUUUAUUUUUGUUUUUUAUCAUGCACAUUUUAGAAUUAAAUUUCCCAGUUUCCAAAAUACUCCUGUUGGUAUUUUUGUUGGGGUGACAUUGAAUUUACAGUAAUUGGGAGAAUAACAUCUUUACAGUGAGUUUGAUCUGUGAACAAACUGCAUCUUUGCAUUAAUUUGUCAUAUUUUAAUGUCUCACUGUAGGAUCUUAAGGUUUAUUCUUGAUUCUAUACACGUUAAAACUUUUCUCGAGAAUGUAUGUCCUUUUGCUCUUCGAAACUGGAUCUUCAUAUUUUGUUGGCUUCGGUGUGUAUAAGAAAACCUGUACAGUAGUUUUGUAAUCCUCUAAUUUUCUCAGUGUUUUCAUUCAUUUUCAGUUGCUUCUCUUUGGUUUCCUAGGUUGAUAGAUGUAUCAUCUGCAAAGAUAAUAAUUUUGCCUCUUCCUUUCCAAUUUUUAUUAUUCAUGACUGUCUGACUCUGCUCGGGCUGCCAUAACAAAAUACCUUAGACUGACGGGCUUAAGUAACACACAUUGAUUUCUUACAGUUCUGGAGGCUCAAAGUGUAAGGUGAGGUGAGGGAGGUAAAUGAAAGCAUGAGCUCUCUGGUAUCCCUUCUUACAAACACUAAUCCCUUAGGACCUCUUUUAAUUACUUUCUUCACCUAGCCACAUUGGGAGGGUUACAGCUUCCACAUACGAAUUUUGUGGGUGGCAGGGUACAAAAUCUAAGUCCGUAACAAUGACUUUCUCCUAACUGCAUGGGCUGCUGUUAAUUGGAAAGUGUAAAAUUAUAGAGUGUUGGUAGUGGCCAUUUUUGUCCCACUAACGUUGCUACUUAGGUGUCACCAUUAAAGCCUGAUUCUGGAUUUUGAGCUGAGAUACAUUUUUAUUAAUAUCUUUGCCAUAGUUAGAAGUAUUCAUAGAUUCCCAAUUUAACCAAUUAAAUCAUAGUAGACUUUGAUUUUAUCAAAUGCGUUUUUAGCCUCUAUAGAGAUAAUUGUAAGGUCUUUCUUACUUAGCUUACUAUUAUGAAUCCUAGAAGUAGAAUUUCUGUUCUCGAAUGAUCGUGGUAUCCCUGAAAUUAGUACUAGUUAGUUGUUGUGUGUUAAGCUUUUAUUGUGCUGGUAGAUUGUGUUUGCUCAUGUUUGAGUUAAUAUUUUACAUCAUUAUUUAUAAGUUAGAUUGAUAUGAAUUUUCUUUCUUGGGUUAUUUUUGUCGGGUUUGAAAUAUGUUAAAGCUGUAUUGAAAAAAUAACUUGGAAGCUUCAUUUCCUGAAUACAUAUUUAAGUAUUUUAAUGUGAGUCAGUAUGAAACGGCUUAUUGUUAGUGUCUUUCCUAAAUACAUUUUUGGAGGAAAAUACUUGAUGAAUUAGAAUAAUUGCCAGGGUUGGACCUCUACUAUUCAAGCUGAAAAAGGCAGAUAACAGACACAUCCCUGAGGAACUGAGAAUUGUGCCUGCAGGUGCUCUGAGAAGGUGGGUAGCUAUAGAAUUCAGCUGGAACACUGGGAUCCACUGAAAAAUCUUGGCGCUCUUGAGGGUAAAAACAACAACAACAAAACACCUUUAUAAAUUGGUCUCUACUGUGUGCGUCUGAGAUUCUGAAUCUUGACGUAUUCCCCCAGUUACCCUGUGACACGACAUGGGAAGGGUAAAUGCUGUCCUAGUUCAUUUUGCUUCCCUCUUGUAACCAUAUCUGGAAGUAUUCUUCUGUCUAAGCCUCCUGCCUCUCCUCCUUCCCACAGAGCCCAGGAUCCACCUGUUGGCACUGAAUGGCUGGGCACCAGGACUCUGUCAUUUCUCUUCCCCCGUGAAAGCCCUACCCUUAGUUUGGCAGCUUCUUGAUAAGAAACUAUUAGACUGAUCCAAGCUCAAGUGGAGAUUGGUGAUGAUGGUUUGUCUCUGUGCCUCCAGAAGGUGACCUGUUGGUAUUUUUCAGGGAAGUCUGACAGAACUUAAACCAAAGGAGUGGGUGGUGACCUACCAGGCAGGUUUGGAGGGCCCCUGUGUGUGACGGAUGGAGCCACGAUCCCCGCUUCUAGCUCUGGCUGUUAUGCGUAGGGUCUACUUUAUAUUUGAGAAAUCAAACCCUAAUAGUAUCUGAUUCAGCCUAGGCAGUCUUAAUCUUUGAAGCUGUUGCCUGCUUUUGUAAAGUCGUUAGGUUUCUUCUCCAGCAGGUUUCUAAAAUUUAAAAAGAAUUUUUUUUCUGGUUUCUCUUUCCCUCUUUCUCAUGCUGGAGAGAUGAAAUUGGAUCGUUUUGCCGCCUCCUCCCCCUUUUUUGUUUUGCUUUGUUUUGUUUUUAGCUCACCCCCCCCCCCGCCCCGCCCCUUCUCUCUGGGUCUCUAGCUACUAGUCCUGAGCAAUUGUGUUACAGUUUUUAACAGAGUAGAAGAUGUUACCACGUGUAUCGGCUUCACACUAUUUACAUCACAAAUAGUUGUGAUAAAAUGUUCAUUCCAAUAUCUACACUGAUUCCAAACUUAACUGAUCUUAAAACUUUACUUCAAAUGACCUAUACUGAAGAACGUUGUACAUAACACAAAGCCAUGAAUAUUGCUUCAAUCCUAGAAGUCAGUAUGCACCCCUUUCUAAAAUAUAUAUAAAUCUCUGAAAUAUGAAUAUAGCCUUUUGAAAUGUGGACAGAAGUCCUUGAUCAGUUUUUGGCUUUAAAAACAAAGAUGGUUUUUUGGGUCCAAUUUACACUUUGCCGUUAUGAUACUAACAGAUAAGAAGACUGCAAAUAGAAUGAAGUCGGUAGGAUUUAGGGUCCUGAAAGGAGGUUUCUUGUGUGAAAAACAGCUUUUCUUGACAAGCUGCUUGUCAAGGUUUUCAGCAGUCUCUCUUCUCAUUUAUUUAUUUGGUUUGAGGGAGUUCGGAUGGUGUUUGGUGUAUUUUGUGCUGGCAGCUCACACGUCAAAAACACAAGACUAAAAAUAUUCUCCAAAUAUGAAUUUACAGUAGUUUCUUCUUCUUGCUUGCCCUCUCCCCUGCCCCCCCCCCCCGAGUAUGAGUGUUAAAACCUAGACACAAGGGCUGACCCCUGGGAAAACUGGCCUGAGGUGAACCCUGUGCCUCUGCUCUGGGUUCCCUGUGCUCCCCACCCCUGGCUCCACGUGAACUAUUCCUUCGAAGAUUGCAGGUUCCCCUUGGGGUUCCCUGCCUCACCAGCCCCUCCCCAACUGUUGGAACCAUUUCUCAUCUCCUCUGUCCACCACUGGAACGUCCCUUUCCUGGUUCCAUUGCUUUGUAUCCUUAGAGUUUGAGCAAAAAUGGUUUUGAAUCUGGCAGCGCUAAACUGUAAGUGGUUAGGAGCUCUUGGUUGACAGGAGCCAGGGAAGAGACGAUACAGAGAAGGUGUGGAAGCAGAGGAAGAAAAUUUCUGUUGGCUGUAAUGUAAGCCUGAUUGGCUGUUGAUGAUUGAAUGUCCUUAGCCUGUUGAUUUCUUAACAUGGAGGCAUUUACAGACUUAGAUUUUGGUCUAUUUCAUAGAGUCCCUGCUGCCUUAAAGCUACUUCAGUCUAAUGCCCUCCUUGUUUAUUUAACAUAACAGUUUCAAGCUAUUGUCUGGGAAUUUCAGUGGAGACCCAUUAGAGAGUGAAGGAGAGGUCACCUCCAGGAAGAACAUCCUAGAAUAUGGGGUAAAGAGUACACUGAAAUGGGAUCUUUAAGGGGAAUAGAAUUUUGACAGAAGAUGAUCAGGCAGGCACACAUACUUGGGCGCGUCACUUAAGUUACUUAUCACACAGCAUAAUUCCUAAUUGAUUUUAAAAACACCUAUUCCCAGAGACCUUGAAGGAAUCAUGGUACUGGUGAAAAUUUAAGGCACUGUGUUUGCCCUUUUGCCCAAACCUAAAGCAAUUGAAGUCAACAUCAACUUACAUUCCUCUGCCUUUGCAUUUUUGGAAGGGAGCAGACAUUGGCAAAGGACACAAUUGACAGGUUGAGGAGAAUUUUUCUCAAAAAACAAGUCAACAUUGUACAUGAAGUGUACUGUGAAUGUAUAUGCAUACCGGUGGGUACAUUUAUAGCAAUACAACUGAAAAUGUGCAAAUGAAAUCCGGGAAGUGCCAAACGGUGUCCUCUAGCAUCUAGCACAACUUUUCUGGUGUGCGAGCGACUUCGUCAGGUAACUUUGAUUCAGUCCAAUGUAUUUAACUGUAUUUUUAAAGAAAAUGUAUGACGAGAAACUAGAAUUUGGGGGGGUGGUGGAAUGAAUAGCUUUUGAGAAAGCAUGUUUUGAUUUUAUGUUAUUUAAAAAAAAAUUUUUUUUAAUGUUUAUCUUGGUGAGAGAA